rnacentral:lncRNA from 1 species
AUAAGACCUGUGGCGGCUCCACUGAGACCCACACGUGCAACUCCGCGCCUCCGCGUUAAAGGAGGUGAAACGCAGCAGCCCUGAGAAACCCCGAGACCCCGGUGUCCUAGCAGAGGCGCCCCGGAUGGGGAGGGGCGCGGGGCCGGCGCCACCCCAGAGGAAAAGCCCAGCGGAGCCGGGUUGGGCAGGAGCUGGCGGCGGCGGUGCGCUGGGCCUUCUGCCUUGGAUCCUCCGCGGUCGGCACCGCUUCCCUGCUCAGAUUCGAACCCAGAUUCGGCUCCCAAGGCUCCCACGGCUCCAGGGUGCCCAGUCUUGCAGCCAGCUCGCCGCCCGAGCCCCGGAUGGAGGAAGCGCUCACUGGCCGCUACCUCUGCUGUUUCUGGCACCAGAGAUUGAGACUGUGAACCUGAACUCCCUUGAUCUCCUCCCGUUGGGCCCAGGAGGGAGCCGAAUCCAGGCCCAACCGGGCUCACUGAGAAGAACCUUUAAAAAUCCGCCAACGAAUGCUGUUGCCUGGAUGCGCUGCCUAUGACCUUCAGCCGUGUGUUCACGCGCGCCCGCAGCCGUGGAGUGGCGGUCCCUCCUGCCGCCCGCAACCCCGGGGCCGCCGGUCUGCGCACACCGGGAGCAACUUCGUUACCCACAGCGCCCGCGUCCUGCGGCUCGCGCGGAACUGCGCGCGGGAAGGUGGCAGAGCGACGCUCCAGAACGCUGCUUGCGUAGACGCUGCCGCUGCCUUCAGAUCCCAAUUCGGCCGCGCGCGGGCGGGGCCCUGGCAGCAACGAAAAUGGCGAGCCUCGUAGCCUUCCGGGCCCGGCGGCCACAUUCCGGGAGUCGCCAGGUGGGAGCCCGCCUUCCGUGUCCCCAAACGCCCAGAGCCCGGGACACGGGCCGGCGGCCGGGUCACCAAGCCAGUUCCCGGAAUCGGCUCGCGCCGGAAUCCAGACUCGGCUUGCAAAGCCCGCUCCUGCCGUCUCUCCGCAGCGCGCCCUGCCCCCCACUGCCGGCCCUCUUAGCUUCAAAACCAAAUUUUGCCUUUCAUCCUGAGAGAUUAAUACCCCGCAGGUGAAACCGUGGAGACGGAGCUGCGGUGGGUUUCUUUUCCACGCCUCAGUUUCCUCGUCUGUGAAAUGGGACCAGGCGCGCCUGUGCUUCUCCGGGAGUUUAUUGCAGGGCUGGCUGGAGAGAAUGGCUGGGUGGAAGCUGCCAGGAGGAGGCCCAAGGCCGCCCACCCCGUGGGCCUCGUUUGCUGAGCGGGGGUCAGAGGCGUGCGGGACAGGGCGCGCCCCACGGCGGCUCUGGAGGCGGCCCGGCCCGUCCCUGUCUCCUCCCCUCGCUCCCCCUCCCCCGGCCUUCCCGGAACUCUCCUCGCCCGCUGGGUGGAGGAGGGGCGAGGGCCGACUCCGCCGCCCCUGGGGUCUCCCUCCUCCCACCCCCACCGCAGAGUCUGGCCCGCCCUGGGCUUUCCUCUCAGGUCCCUUUGGGUCUCCAGAAGCCCGGAGGUUUCGCGCAGACUCGAACCUGAGAUGACACCACCCAGCACCCCAAAUCCUGCAGAGUGUGGAGGGGAUCUGGGGAGAAGGCAGGGGCUGCCCGGGCGCUCUGGCUGCUGGGGGUGGGGGACAGGGCCUGCCGGGGAAGCGGGUCGGGGGAGGACUGGAGACCCAGGCUCCCCUAGGUACAACGAACCUCGCGGGAGGGAAUACGCCAUCCCCGUACCCACUUCCGAGGACGUAGGUCUUUUGGCACCGGCGGCAGCCGCGUUCCCACACAUCUGGGCGGGGCCCCGCAGCAUGGCCUGGGGAGCUGAGGCUUCGGGAUCCGGCACAAACUACCAUUCUAGGUGUAGACGGAGGAGGUGGGGUGUGGGAAGCAGGGGGCCAUGGUCUGAGCAGACCUUCUCACCUCUGGGCCUCCCACCUCCUGGGGCAGGACUUACGGGGAAGGACCCGAGGGGAGUGGGGUGUCCAUAGGGACACCCAAGGGUCUAUCCCUGCGAGCUUUGCUUUCUACUAAACCAAUAAUCGCAGUGGUGGUGGCAGUCGAGACACGGCUCAAAGAGCCGGCAAGAAUAGAGCAGAGACCAGGAUCGCCCCAGGCAGGGAAAAAAUGACCAGUUCUGUAGAGUGACCCGAAGGUGAUGGAAUCACUCGGGCGUCCUCCUGGGAAAGAGCUGCCUGCUCCCCCGCCGCCGCCAGUACACCGGCGCCCAUGCCCCGGGGGCUGGAGAGAGCAGCCAGGCACAGGUAACUCAAGAACUCCAGUCCCCUCACGGGUGCCGUGCUGUGGGGCGCCCUCACCCCCACACUUUGGGUCCCUGGGCCUCCUCAUCAAAGCAGGGGCCUGAGUGGCAGGAACACCCCUGUGUGCAGAAUAGUGCCCCCUGCAGCCCCCACAGGUCACCUCUUUGAGGACCUAGGUGGGGCCUGCCCUGGGGACUGGGGUGAAGAGGGCAGGUCCAGCCUUCAGCAGCCCCUCCCCCAUGACUUCAGUGGAAUUACAAGGGGAACACCCAGGGCAGCUCCCGUAGGCUGCACAAGGGAAGAGGGGAGGGCUUCUACUGAGGUGAAACAGUGACCCACCCCUCCCACACCGUCAGCCUCCCUCCCCUCUCCACCCUUCAGUGCUGGGACCCCAGGGCCCAUAGACAGCUGGGGGAGUGGGGAGACAGGAGGAACUCAAGCUCAGCUUCUGCCUCCUGUCUCCUGGGACCCUCGGGCAGCCCCUCCAGCUUCCUGGGAGUCCAAUUUCCCAAGGUAGAACGGUGGCGGCAGAGCCUGGCCCUGUGGUGGGGCAGCUGCACCCCGAUGAGUGGCUUGCAGUUCCUGGAGCCCUGCAGGUUGUUGGAGAGGCAGGGAGCCCUUCUCCCUCCUGCCUGCCCUCUUGCACUUCCUCUCCCAGAACCCAGCACUACUCCCAGAGGCUCUGAGCUGGAGCCCUAGAAGGUAACCACCUCCUGGCUGGACACAGGGCAAGUUGGGGCCAGGCGUGAGGACAGGUGCCCCAGGAGCCACCUGCUCCACUCAUCCACAAAGGCCUUAACUGGCUCAGGGGCCCCUAGCUCCCAGUCAAGCCCUGCCCUCCUGACCUUGUCCUGCCCUGGUGCUGCCAGUCGGGUGGAGAUGUCUAGGGGCCAGCUGGUCUCCUGGCAACUGAAGUCCGCGCUUCCCUUCCGUUCACUCAUUCCUUCCUUUCCUCAUGCAGGAGGCGCUGCAAGGCUCCGUGCUCCUGGAGCUUCGAGUCUAUGGUAUGAGUUAAACAGAAGGGUAUCUCCUCCAUCAGAUCUACAGGAGGGUGUCUGCUCCAUCAGACCUGGAGCUUCCAAGGCAUUUUACCCGAAGCUCCAGCACCUGGCCCAAGGCUGGGCUGUGCUGUGUCCUCAGUGAAAGAAUGGAUGAGUCACAGCUGAAUGACUGAAGAGCUGAACCAAUGGGAAAACUGAUGCUCAGAGGCUUGAGCAACCUAGGCCAGGACCUGUCCUUAGAGGCAGAAGCAGGACUCAGAGGAAGAGCACCCUGACCACAAAGCCCCAGGGUCCAGAAAGACUCAGCCACUGGAGUCUGUAUUUCCUGAGUCGCCUCUCACUGCUGGAGCUGUUUAUCAUCGCUCCAACUUUCACUAAAAAGGAAAAACUAUCACUUAAACAAAGCCAUUGAAACCCCAGCAUCAUGUGUGGAUUUUUUAACAUAAAUAAAUCAUACAAACUAAAAAAAAAAAAAAAA